CCUACGGGAGGCAGCAGUGGGGAAUAUUGCACAAUGGGCGAAAGCCUGAUGCAGCGACGCCGCGUGAGGGAUGACGGCCUUCGGGUUGUAAACCUCUUUCAGCAGGGAAGAAGCGAAAGUGGCGGUACCUGCAGAAGAAGCGCCGGCUAACUACGUGCCAGCAGCCGCGGUAAUACGUAGGGCGCAAGCGUUGUCCGGAAUUAUUGGGCGUAAAGAGCUCGUAGGCGGCCUGUCACGUCGGAUGUGAAAGCCCGGGGCUUAACCCCGGGUCUGCAUUCGAUACGGGCUAGCUAGAGUGUGGUAGGGGAGAUCGGAAUUCCUGGUGUAGCGGUGAAAUGCGCAGAUAUCAGGAGGAACACCGGUGGCGAAGGCGGAUCUCUGGGCCAUUACUGACGCUGAGGAGCGAAAGCGUGGGGAGCGAACAGGAUUAGAUACCCUGGUAGUCCACGCCGUAAACGUUGGGAACUAGGUGUUGGCGACAUUCCACGUCGUCGGUGCCGCAGCUAACGCAUUAAGUUCCCCGCCUGGGGAGUACGGCCGCAAGGCUAAAACCUUAAAUGAAUUGACGG
rnacentral:rRNA from 1 species